rnacentral:rRNA from 1 species
UAUUUCCUACGGGGGGCAGCAGUGGGGAAUAUUGCACAAUGGGGGAAACCCUGAUGCAGCGACGCCGCGUGAGCGAAGAAGUAUUUCGGUAUGUAAAGCUCUAUCAGCAGGGAAGAAGAUGACGGUACCUGAGUAAGAAGCUCCGGCUAAAUACGUGCCAGCAGCCGCGGUAAUACGUAUGGAGCAAGCGUUAUCCGGAUUUACUGGGUGUAAAGGGAGCGCAGGCGGUCUGGCAAGUCUGAUGUGAAAUACCGGGGCUCAACUUCGGGACUGCAUUGGAAGCUGUCAGACUGGAGUGUCGGAGG